AGGUAAUUUGAUCUUUGUCUCACACCUUCACACUUCAACACUGGGAUGAAGUCUUUGUACUAUCUAAACUGAAUGAUAAGACCGAAAGAAACAAAGUCAGAGGCUCAGGAGGCCAAUUCACGAAAUGCCUCAUAUUAAAGACCUGUUUGCCUGCAUCAUAUAUGGAAUCCUAACUUUGAUGAGAACCUGUCUAUAACAGCACCUUCUGAAAUAAGAUUCAACUGUUUAACAAAAUAGACCUAUUUUCAGUACUAAGAGAAUGAUUCAAGAAGACAUGAGACUACAUCACUAACUAUAGCCAGCUACCUCAGGAUCCUGAACUAUUGGUUACAAGGUGCAAAUCUCCUCUACAAUAGGCAGCUUUGUAAGGUUAUUCCUGUCUGCAGGCCCUCUGAGUAGCCAUCUAAAACUAUGUCAGUGGUCUAGAACUGAACCCACAAUUUCCCCGAGGUAUG